AAAGUCGUAACAAGGUCUCCGUAGGUGAACCUGCGGAGGGUCCAAUUAAUCGAGAAGCGUUGCCCUAACGGGGUAGAUCUCCCACCCUUUGCUAACCAAACAUUGUUGCUUUGUCUGGCCCGACCCUCGGGUCCGCCGGCCUUCGGGCUGGUCAGCGCCGGACAGAGGAAAACUAAAACCUUUAUCACUGUCGUCAGAGUACUAUAUAAUAGUUAAAAC
rnacentral:misc_RNA from 1 species